rnacentral:tRNA from 1 species
GCCGGAGUGGUGAAACUGGUAGACGCGCUGGACUCAAAAUCCAGUGGACCUUGGGUCCGUGCCGGUUCGAUUCCGGCCUCCGGCACCA